GACGAACGCUGGCGGCGUGCUUAACACAUGCAAGUCGAGCGGUAAGGCCCUUUCGGGGGUACACGAGCGGCGAACGGGUGAGUAACACGUGGGUGACCUGCCCUCAGCUCUGGGAUAAGCCUGGGAAACUGGGUCUAAUACCGGAUAUGACUCCAUGACGCAUGUUGUGGGGUGGAAAGCCUUGUGCGGCUGAGGAUGGGCCCGCGGCCUAUCAGCUUGUUGGUGGGGUGANGGCCUACCAAGGCGACGACGGGUAGCCGGCCUGAGAGGGCGACCGGCCACACUGGGACUGAGACACGGCCCAGACUCCUACGGGAGGCAGCAGUGGGGAAUCUUGCGCAAUGGGCGAGAGCCUGACGCAGCGACGCCGCGUGAGGGAUGACGGCCU
rnacentral:rRNA from 1 species